rnacentral:rRNA from 1 species
AUUGAACGCUGGCGGCAUGCCUUACACAUGCAAGUCGAACGGUAACGCGGGGCAACCUGGCGACGAGUGGCGAACGGGUGAGUAAUGCAUCGGAACGUGCCUGGUAGUGGGGGAUAACUGCUCGAAAGAGCAGCUAAUACCGCAUACGACCUGAGGGUGAAAGGGGGGGAUCGCAAGACCUCUCGCUAUCGGAGCGGCCGAUGUCGGAUUAGCUAGUUGGUGGGGUAAAGGCCCACCAAGGCAACGAUCCGCAGCUGGUCUGAGAGGACGACCAGCCACACUGGGACUGAGACACGGCCCAGACUCCUACGGGAGGCAGCAGUGGGGAAUUUUGGACAAUGGACGCAAGUCUGAUCCAGCAAUGCCGCGUGCGGGAAGAAGGCCUUCGGGUUGUAAACCGCUUUUGUCAGGGAAGAAAUCUUCUGGGUUAAUACCUCGGGAGGAUGACGGUACCUGAAGAAUAAGCACCGGCUAACUACGUGCCAGCAGCCGCGGUAA